UCCCUGGUGGCUCAGAGGUUAAAGCAUCUGCCUGGAAUCCAGGAGACCUGGGUUCGAUCCCUGGGUCGGGAA
rnacentral:tRNA from 1 species